rnacentral:rRNA from 1 species
UUGAACGCUGGCGGCAUGCUUUACACAUGCAAGUCGAACGGCAGCGGGGGCUUCGGCCUGCCGGCGAGUGGCGAACGGGUGAGUAAUGCAUCGGAACGUACCCAGUCGUGGGGGAUAACUACGCGAAAGCGUGGCUAAUACCGCAUACGCCCUGAGGGGGAAAGCGGGGGACCUUCGGGCCUCGCGCGAUUGGAGCGGCUGAUGUCGGAUUAGCUGGUUGGUGGGGUAAAGGCCUACCAAGGCGACGAUCCGUAGCUGGUCUGAGAGGAUGAUCAGCCACACUGGGACUGAGACACGGCCCAGACUCCUACGGGAGGCAGCAGUGGGGAAUUUUGGACAAUGGGGGCAACCCUGAUCCAGCCAUGCCGCGUGAGUGAAGAAGGCCUUCGGGUUGUAAAGCUCUUUCGGUCGGGACGAAACGGCGGAUGCUAAUACCAUCCGUUACUGACGGUACCGACAGAAGAAGCACCGGCUAACUACGU